AUUGAACGCUGGCGGCGUGCCUAACACAUGCAAGUCGAGCGGUAACAGGUGUAGCAAUACAUGCUGACGAGCGGCGAACGGGUGAGUAAUGCUUUGGAAUCUUCCCAGUAGUGGGGAUAACCAGUCGAAAGAUUGGCUAAUACCGCAUACGUCUGUAAAGGGAAAGCGGGGGCUCGCAAGACCUCGCGCUAUUGGAUGAGCCAAAGUCGGAUUAGCUAGUGGUGGGGUAAUGGCCUACCAAGGCGACAAUCCGUAGCUGGUCUGAGAGGACGACCAGCCACACCGGAACUGAGACACGGUCCGGACUCCUACGGGAGGCAGCAGUGGGGAAUAUUGGACAAUGGGGGAAACCCUGAUCCAGCGACGCCGCGUGUGUGAAGAAGG
rnacentral:rRNA from 1 species